AGCUACACAAGGAGAUGAGGAUGGUCAUUGUCUGUUUCUGAGCUGCAAACGGGCAGAAAGCUACACAAGAUGAUGAGGAUGGUCAUUGUCAUUUUCUGAGCUGCGAAAAGACAGAAAGCUACAGAAGGAGAUUAGGAUGGUCAUUGUCUGUUUCUGAG